GACGAACGCUGGCGGCGCGCCUAACACAUGCAAGUCGAACGAGCGAGAGAGAGCUUGCUUUCUCGAGCGAGUGGCGAACGGGUGAGUAACGCGUGAGGAACCUGCCUCAAAGAGGGGGACAACAGUUGGAAACGACUGCUAAUACCGCAUAAGCCCACGACCCGGCAUCGGGUAGAGGGAAAAGGAGCAAUCCGCUUUGAGAUGGCCUCGCGUCCGAUUAGCUAGUUGGUGAGGUAACGGCCCACCAAGGCGACGAUCGGUAGCCGGACUGAGAGGUUGAACGGCCACACUGGGACUGAGACACGGCCCAGACUCCUACGGGAGGCAGCAGUGGGGAAUAUUGCACAAUGGGGGAAACCCUGAUGCAGCGACGCCGCGUGGAGGAAGAAGGUCUUCGGAUUGUAAACUCCUGUUGUUGAGGAAGAUAAUGACGGUACUCAACAAGGAAGUGACGGCUAACUACGUG
rnacentral:rRNA from 1 species